CUCUCAAAGUAUGUAGUAUUUGUGGUAUAAGGCAUAGUGACAUUGCCUUCUCUCUCAUCCUACUCUAAUAAGGCUUUAAUAUCUGGAGCUCAUAGGUGGGAGAUAAAGUAUACAUACUUACAAGACAUUUAUUGUAUAGUCAAACCAUGGAUCCAGAGAAACAAGUCAAUAAGUCAAAUCAAGAUGUGCAUGUGUGGCG
rnacentral:lncRNA from 1 species